CCUACGGGAGGCAGCAGUGGGGAAUAUUGGACAAUGGGCGAAAGCCUGAUCCAGCAAUGCCGCGUGAGUGAUGAAGGCCUUAGGGUUGUAAAGCUCUUUUACCAGGGAUGAUAAUGACAGUACCUGGAGAAUAAGCUCCGGCUAACUCCGUGCCAGCAGCCGCGGUAAUACGGAGGGAGCUAGCGUUGUUCGGAAUUACUGGGCGUAAAGCGUACGUAGGCGGUUAUUCAAGUCAGAGGUGAAAGCCUGGAGCUCAACUCCAGAACUGCCUUUGAAACUAGAUAGCUAGAAUCUUGGAGAGGUGAGUGGAAUUCCGAGUGUAGAGGUGAAAUUCGUAGAUAUUCGGAAGAACACCAGUGGCGAAGGCGACUCACUGGACAAGUAUUGACGCUGAGGUACGAAAGCGUGGGGAGCAAACAGGAUUAGAUACCCUGGUAGUCCACGCCGUAAACGAUGAUAACUAGCUGUUCGGGCUCUACGAGCUUGAGUGGCGCNGCUACGCAUUAAGUUAGUCCGCCGUGGGAGGUACGGUCGCGAGAAGUUAAACGUUAAAGUAAGUUAGUUAGUACGUUGNGAGNGCGACGACGACGACGAGGAGGAGG
rnacentral:rRNA from 1 species